CGCGCUGUGGCCGAGUGGCUGAGGCAAGGGACUGCAAAUCCCUGUACGCGGGUUCGAAUCCCGCCAGCGCGU
rnacentral:tRNA from 1 species